UACGUAGGGUGCAAGCGUUGUCCGGAAUUAUUGGGCGUAAAGAGCUCGUAGGCGGUCUGUCGCGUCGGCUGUGAAAACUCGGGGCUCAACUCCGAGCUUGCAGUCGAUACGGGCAGGCUAGAGUUCGGCAGGGGAGACUGGAAUUCCUGGUGUAGCGGUGAAAUGCGCAGAUAUCAGGAAGAACACCCGUGGCUAAGGCGGCUCUCUAGUACGGUACUGACGCUGGGACGCGAAAGCGUGGGGAGCGAACAGG
rnacentral:rRNA from 1 species